UUAAUGGAGAGUUUGAUCCUGGCUCAGGACGAACGCUGGCGGCGUGCCUAAUACAUGCAAGUCGAGCGAGGGUCUUCGGACCCUAGCGGCGGACGGGUGAGUAACACGUAGGCAACCUGCCU
rnacentral:rRNA from 1 species